rnacentral:rRNA from 1 species
UACAGAGGUCCCAAGCGUUGUUCGGAUUCACUGGGCGUAAAGGGUGCGUAGGCGGUUGGGUAAGUCUGAUGUGAAAUCUCACAGCUUAACUGUGAAACUGCAUUGGAUACUAUCCAACUCGAGGAAUGGAGGGGAGACUGGAAUACUUGGUGUAGCAGUGAAAUGCGUAGAGAUCCGGAGGAACACCAAUGGCGAAGGCAGGGUCCUGGCUGGCACCUGACGCUGAUGUGCGAAAGCCAGGGGAGCGAACGGG